CCUACGGGUGGCAGCAGUGAGGAAUAUUGGUCAAUGGGCGCGCGCCUGAACCAGCCAAGUAGCGUGAAGGAUGACUGCCCUACGGGUUGUAAACCGCUUUUGUACAAGGGUAAACCUGAAUACGUGUAUUCAGCUGAAAGUACUGUACGAAUAAGGAUCGGCUAACUCCGUGCCAGCAGCCGCGGUAAUACGGUGGAUUCAAGCGUUAUCCGGAUUUAUUGGGUUUAAAGGGUGCGUAGGCGGUCGGAUAAGUUAGAGGUGAAAUCCCGAGGCUCAAAUUCGGAAUUGCCUCUGAUACUGUUCGGCUAGAGAGUAGUUGCGGUAGGCGGAAUGUAUGGUGUAGCGGUGAAAUGCUUAGAGAUCAUACAGAACACCGAUUGCGAAGGCAGCUUACCAAGCUACUUCUGACGUUGAGGCACGAAAGCGUGGGGAGCAAACAGGAUUAGAUACCCCUGUAGUC
rnacentral:rRNA from 1 species